CGUGCACCCAAACCCAAAGCGCACGCCGGCUCAGUGGUGUGCUUUUGUGUGGCGUGCCAACAUGAACGUGAUCCCUGUCGCCUUUCACGACUGCCGUGUCUCUGAAAGUGAAACCAGGGGUCUACAAGU
ensembl:snoRNA